rnacentral:lncRNA from 1 species
UGAUUUGGAGUUGGAUUUUGAAUAUGUUGAAGUUGAAGAAAAGAUAGACGAAGGUAAGAUCUAUCCAUUUUUGUUGGUUUCGUUUGCAUGCAUGAUGUUUUUACUCUUUUUGUUUAGUUCAUAACUAUGUGUUAUCUAUUUUGUUAGGCAUUAUUUCAUCACUUUUUGGAGUCAUUUAGAGCUUCAGGAGUACGAUUUGCCUAGCGAAGUGAGCUAUGAAGUUGAAGAUCAAGGUAUGAGCUUUGCAAUAAAUUGAUUUUUUUGUGCAUGCAAGGUCGUAAUUAGUUAGUCUUUUAGCUCAUCAUUAGCUAUGCAAUGUUAGUGAUUAGAGGUUAGAAAUAAUUUCAGACGACAGAUGUAGCAUUUAUAAUAUAAUUUUUAGAAGAGUAGGUUGAAGAUGUUGUAUCAAUGUUAGGUGCGUCCAUUAGUAUUGACAUGCAAGAAAUCUUAAUACGGUAAUUAAGAAACACUUGUAGUGUAAUUAUUCAUUGCAUGUGGUAUGUUAUUUCAUGUGGUAUGUUUAUUAAUAAGUCUAUAGUUAGAAGGUUGUAGGUCUACUUUGUUAUGUCGAAAUAAUGUAAAUUUUAUAUGUUACGAAUAUGUGCUAAUGUACUUGAUGAUGUAUGUAAUUAGGUAAAAUAAUUAAUCUUAGUAGCAAACAAGGAGGAGAUGACGUGAUUGAAGAAAUUGUGUUUCCAUCUUUGCUGUCCCUUUUGAGGUGAUGAUCAGAUACAUGCAAGUGCUAUUUUCAUACUUUUGAUAGCAGAAAGAAAAAUCCGUGUGUAAUAUUGAUGUUCAUAUGAUAAUAGGUUGACUCUGUUCAUAUAGUACUGGUGACGGAUAUUUAUUCAAACUAUUUGGACUCUUAAUUGCAUUCGCAAACACAUUCAUAUUAGAGCUAAGGUAUAAAAUGACGCCGUAAUUUUGUUAAUAUUUUUUAUAUUGAUGUACUGCCAUGCCGCUGCAAAUAUUAUUAUUUGUAAAUAAAUGAAUUUUAUCGUAUGAUAUGGAAAACAUUAUAUCAUGCCGUAAGAAAUUAGAUAUUUUACUCAUAUGAUAUUAAAAUGUUAUUAUCGUAAUAUUAUGUUU